rnacentral:pre_miRNA from 1 species
AAAAGUUAGGACAUACUUACCCUUUGAAUUGAAUGGGAAGGUGUGUCCAAACUUUUGA